CAAAUUUACUUUAUAAAUGUCAAUUAAAGCUUUGGUUGGAUAUUAUUCAAGUAUCAGAUAUUCCAAACAUAUGCUAUUAUCCUGAAUAUUUAUAUCUAUAACAAGAAAAUGUUACAAUAAAUGAUGUUAAACCCCCAAUAAACUAAGGGGAAAAAUAAAAAAAACAUAACUGUAACAAGAGAUUCCAGUACUCCAAUAUCGGUAGAUAAAACACAUAAACAGAACUUGUGUUAUAAAAACAAAAUAAAGGAACAAUACAAUGAACCAACUUGGCAUCACUGAAUGCACUCUACAGAGGUCUUUAAGGACACAGAAGCAUUCACCAAAACGUUCUGGCCCACUGUGAUAAACAGUCAUCAUUGUGUGUCUGUGUUUUGUUUCCACAGACCUAAACUAAAUACUAAAAAUAGAACUAAAAUAGCAACAAAUACUGGGAAAAACUUAGAAAAUCCCCAGUGUUUAAAAUAUUUAUCCAUGUGCCUUUCUGAACAUUUCUUGGGUUAGCUGAGAAGUUACAUGGAAUAUUGAAAAUGUGUCCUUUGAAACAAAAAGUGUAAAAGUUGAGUGGGUAGCUAAUGUGAUUUUCAAAGGGUAAUCUAUAGCAUUGAAUGUUUAUAUUGUAGUUUGGGCAUCAGAUCAAUGAUUUAAGCUUCAAGUUCAAGAAUAAAUGCAAAGGGGGAAAAUGUAAACCAAAGCUGGAAGUUAGGAAGUAGUCUAAGUGCAGAAGUAAGUGAUGUUGGAAUCUGAAAAUGAAACAAAACAAAACAAAACAACAAACAAAGCCCAAAAUAUUUAAAGGAAAGUGAUGAAAAUAGAAGGCCUUUGGAGAGAGCAAUUAGAAAAGGUGGUCGGCAGGGGGUGGGGGAGAUUGAGUUGAUCAAGAACACAAACCAGAGUACAGAGCAGAUAUUUUCCAUGUGUAUCAAGUAUCAAGGAAGAAAUUGAUUUCCAUGUGUAUCAGGAAUCAAGGAAUCAAGGAAGGAAUGCAGACCUCUUGGUUAUGGAAAGGAUAAUAUGAAUUAUACAGUGGAAAUCUUUAUGACUCUUUGACAUGGUUAAGUUUCUUGAAGGACAGAAAGUUCAGGAAAUGCCUUCAAGAAGAAUUAGAAAACCCGAAGAGAUAAUCCAUCAGACACAAUGAAGUCAGAACACAAAACGUGUCAAUGGCCUAAAAUUCCAAACCGUGCUUCACUGGUUGAAGAUUUCUGGGUAUGCUGGAUAGUUUAUGUCAACUAGACCGAGAAGAAGGAUCCCCGAUGGAGAAGAUGCCUCCAUACAAGCAGGCUUUAGAUGUAUCCAUACAUUUCUUUCCUAGUAGAGCAGAGGUGUCCCAUGAAAGUCACUCAAAUGUUUGGUUUUAUUUUCUGAGGGCCACAUAGUUUAUCAGAUCCUGUACUUUGGUCUAUACGUCCAAGAAAUGAAGGGCUGCAGUGGACGAGAACUGUACGAAGUGUUAGAACCUGGCUAGAAAGGCCAGAAAACUGACUUUGCCUCCUGUUGUUCUCAUCUCCUAAUGAAGCUUCCCUUAAGCUUCAGAAGUAAACUGUUCUUGGCUGUGAAGAAUGACACAGUAAAAAUCUCCUUCAGGAAAACUUCCUGUGAAGAGUCACUACUAUGUACACAUGAUCUUGGAAUAAUUUUCAAAUUUGCCAUCACUUAUGAUGGAAAAAUGGCUACCAUUCUCAGGAGAAUUUUGCAAACAAGGCUUAGACUGCCAUUGCUGUUCAAGUGGCUCAGUUUCUGAGUGUCUCAUGUUUAAUUCGGUGAGCAGCAGCAAUCAGGAUCCUGGGGAAGGCUUCCAAGCCUAGAAGUUUGGAGAGUGUGGGAAAGAAGACACAUCACAAGAUGGAUGGCAGAGCAAGAGUGUCCUUCAGAGUGUGGUUUUGAAAUGGCCUACAAGUGAGGACUUUCUGGAGACGGGAACUUCUCUGGCUCCUCCUGGCGUCACUCGACUUGUACUGAAGGGAAACAUUUGGAAAGGGAAACUAGCUGCAUCCCAGGAAGUCCUCCAGAUUUCCUCAAUGUUGUGACUGAGGAAUGCGAGCAUCUGUGACUGCAGCCAUUUUCCAAAGAGCCUUUUAUUUCCUGCCAGUACCAUGCCAUCUUUCGGUACUCUGCUGGAUGACACGCAGAAUUCGGAACAAGCAGAAAGAUACAGAUGCCUCAUGACUUCUUUGCCUGAUCCAGAUUAGAUCCUGAAGGGACCACGAUCAGAGAGCCAAGACCCCACGACAUCAGCUGUGUCACUGAGCAGCUCCGAACUGCAUGGACAGAUGCUGCGCUUGCAGAGAGACCCGUUGCUCAGACAUUUUGAGAGAUAAAGGAAUCUACCAGCAGUAACUCUUCCAUUCUGCUUUACAAGCUGACAAGAUUUCAACUCAAGGCAGGAGGCUCACGAUGCUGUCAUGAAGUACACGUGGAGAAGAACUGCAGAUAAAUGCUUUCCACUACAGCUGUUGGGUACCUCGAGGGAAAGCUCUGAAGGAUUCAGCAAAGAAAAUACCAUUCCUCCAGAGUCUUCAGCUGGCUGCAACAGCAGCAGCCCCAGCAUGGCUUUUGUUGUGGCUAUGACUGCAGAGUUUUCCUGACAUAGGAAGCUUGCAGUCCUUAAGAAGAUGGCUAUUUCCACAGCUACUGGAUGACACUGUGGUCCUGCAGUUCUGUCUCAUAGAAGACCAUGGGUUGUGACUUACUGGUGGGUAAGGACAUAAGGCUCAAGAGAAGGGUUGCAGGAGACAAUGAAGACUGCUUGGCGUCCCAGAGGGGCUACUUCUUUUCUCUGUCAUCACUACAAACUCAUUAUAACUUGCCACCCAAGGUCGAUUGGAUAACACUAUGAAAAUUAUGUAGUAGGUGAUGAAACUUCCAGAUAAGAGGAGUUUAAAUGGAGCUACCCUACAAUUGUGGAGAUGAUGCCUUUCCAAGACACCACUGCUAUUAAGCAAAAAGCUCAGUAACAGAAAAGCUGUGGAUGUGCGCCUUCUCUCAGGUGUGAGUUGAAUGAUCUCUCCUCUACUGCUCUGGAAUGCUGGGAGUACUGAUGGCUGCAGCUCUCCAACUGUGAUCUCUCUCAGUAUCACCUCAGCUGAAAAAGACCUCCUGUCUGAGGUUACCAGCUUCUUCCCUGGAGGCUCAUUUCAUCUAAUGUUUUCAUACAGUAUUUUGAUAAAUUGGACAGAGAGGUACUAGCCACGCUUUAUUAGAUCUCUAGACCUUCUUGCAGAGAGCAAAUACCUGAUAUAAAAGAUAUUCUUGGAAGAAGGAUUUAUUCAUUUGGCUAAUGGUUUGAAAAAGUAGUAUCCACUGAUGGUAAGGAAGACAUGGCAGAACUGAUAAUGCUGUGAGCCUGAUGAUAGAACUCUACACAGCUCAGAAGAUUAUGGGGCACAGAAACGAAAGUGCAAGUACUUCUCUGACAUACUAGUCUAGUCAACCCCUUUUUCUUUAUUAUAGAACCUUAGUCUAUGGAAUGGUGAAUCACAUAUUCAGUGCAGGGUUAUUCCCACCCUCAGUAAAUUGUCCUUAGAAAUGUCCUCACACUCAUACCAAGAGGACACUAAUGCCCCAGUCAUCAUUGAUUCUAAUCAUGUAGGCAAUCAAAAGUAAUAAUACACCUUCCAGAGAUUAUAGAAAUCAUGUCAACAUUUAUGAGGAAUAUAGGCCCUUAAAGAUCAGAAGAAUAACACACAUAAGGAAAGAUGCUAAACAUGAAGAACUUAUGAAGGUGGUCAGAAGACUCAUUGUGAUUAAUACUAAACAAUCCUGCAAGGUCUCUAGGACUUGAUUUAACAUCCUAGGGUGGCUCUAAGAAACGUGGAAAAAGCUAUGACUUAUAUUAUGAUGCCAGACAUAUGAAUUUCUACCCCAUCUGAGGAAUAAGAAGGCUCAUAAAGAGAAGCAUGUUAGAAUAUGAAGCACCAUGUAAUUUGGAAAACUCCCUAACUGGCUAUGCUUUGUGGGUAGACCCAGAAGAUGAUAUCCUUCUCAAAGCAAUAAGAAUUGUACCAGAGAAAAUAUCAACAUCUCCCAGAACUCAUCAGUAGCUCACUCUGAAGAUAAAGGCUAACAGAUGAAGUAUUUCACAAACUAAUAAUGAUAAGGUGAUCAAAUUCCCCAUAUGAUAAAGACUGGGCAUCAGUGCUUAGUGAUCAGAAGAAAAAUGUUCAAAACUAUGUUAAUGAAGUAAGACCACAGUAAUUCUUGUGAGCAGCAUCCAGGUUUGCCCUGAAAAUCUAUUCUGUGGCUAAGGAGAGAGUACUGGCUCCACUUGACUAGAGGUAUCUGAACAGAGCUCACCAAGUUGCUUCCGACAGCAUAUCCCAUGGCCAAUGCAAUGAGCAGAGGGGCAGUGAGGUUUGUAUUUUAUACAAGAGAGCUGGAUGAUUACAUGAGAUUGGCAGGUGGCUGAAAUAAAACCACAGUGUUUCACAAUAGCUCAUA